rnacentral:rRNA from 1 species
GACAUAGGUGGCGAACGUUAUCCGGAAUUAUUGGGCGUAAAGGGCUCGUAGGCGGUUUGUCGCGUCGGGAGUGAAAUCCACUGGCUUAACUGGUGGCUUGCUUUCGAUACGGGCAGACUGGAGGUAUGCAGGGGAGAACGGAAUUCCUGGUGUAGCGGUGAAAUGCGCAGAUAUCAGGAGGAACACCGGUGGCGAAGGCGGUUCUCUGGGCAUGUCCUGACGCUGAGGAGCGAAAGUGUGGGGAGCGAACAGG